GAUGAAGAACGUAGCGAAAUGCGAUACGUAAUGUGAAUUGCAGAAUUCAGUGAAUCAUCGAAUCUUUGAACGCACAUUGCGCCCGCCAGUAUUCUGGCAGGCAUGCCUGUUCGAGCGUCAUUUCAACCAUCAAGCCCCCGGCUUGUGUUGGGGACCUGCGGCUGCCGCAGGCCCUGAAAAGCAGUGGCGGGCUCGCUGUCACACCGAGCGUAGUAGCAUACAUCUCGCUCUGGGCGUGCUGCGGGUUCCGGCCGUUAAACCACCUUCAUAACCCAAGGUUGACCUCGGAUCAGGUAGGAAGACCCGCUGAACUUAAGCAUAUCAAUAAGCGGAGGA
rnacentral:misc_RNA from 1 species